rnacentral:rRNA from 1 species
CGAACGCUGGCGGCGUGCUUAACACAUGCAAAUCGAACGGAAAGGCCCUGCUUUUGUGGGGUGCUCGAGUGGCGAACGGGUGAGUAACACGUGAGUAACCUGCCCUUGACUUUGGGAUAACUUCAGGAAACUGGGGCUAAUACCGGAUAGGAGCUCCUGCUGCAUGGUGGGGGUUGGAAAGUUUCGGCGGUUGGGGAUGGACUCGCGGCUUAUCAGCUUGUUGGUGGGGUAGUGGCUUACCAAGGCUUUGACGGGUAGCCGGCCUGAGAGGGUGACCGGCCACAUUGGGACUGAGAUACGGCCCAAACUCCUACGGGAGGCAGCAGUGGGGAAUAUUGCACAAUGGGCGGAAGCCUGAUGCAGCAACGCCGCGUGCGGGAUGACGGCCUUCGGGUUGUAAACCGCUUUCGCCUGUGACGAAGCGUGAGUGACGGUAAUGGGUAAAGAAGCACCGGCUAACUACGUG